UUUGCAAUGAGAUGGAAACAGGCAGCAAGUGCUACUAGUGUCUGGCCGACGUACAGCACAGCUGAUUUACUGUCUGGCAAUGCAACACACACCAAGCAGCCUGAUGUGGAACUUUGCCGGCACCCAUAGGCCACAAUUUUGUACUGGGUAUCAGUUUUCAAAAAGGGCACAGCAAUGCGGGCAUUGUCGAUGCCUAUAAUCGAAGCAUUGACUCCAGUUUCUUGCCUGUGCCAAAAGCCAGUAAUGAAAUCAGGGAAGGAGGAACAUUCCAGUAGUGCUAGAUGUGAUAAAGUACACAGUACCUGACCUCACUAAGUGUCCUGGGGUUGAAUGACUAGAAAUAAAAGCAACAGACAGACUGAAAGGAGUACGACUAUGGAACAAUGGAAAAGAAGGCAACAAGCAGUCUGCAAGUACUAUUGCAAACUACUUCAAGAAAGGAAAGGGUUUCCAACAGAUCUCGGCUUUCUUAAAUAGCCGUUCAGAAAUGACUCCACAUCCCGGAAACUACAGGAAAUACUCAGGAAACCUCCCAGUCUCAUUUAUUCCUUCCCUCUUUCUGCCUACAGUUUCAAAAGUAGUUUUGAUCAGGUUAAUAACAAAG